rnacentral:rRNA from 1 species
GUAGUUGAUCGUGGCUCAGGAUGAACGCUGGCGGCGUGCCUAAUACAUGCAAGUCGAGCGAACAGACGAGGAGCUUGCUCCUCUGACGUUAGCGGCGGACGGGUGAGUAACACGUGGAUAACCUACCUAUAAGACUGGGAUAACUUCGGGAAACCGGAGCUAAUACCGAAUAAUAUAUUGAAACCGCAUGGUUCAAUAGUGAAAAACGGUUUUGCUGUCACUUAUAGAUGGAUCCGCGCCGCAUUAGCUAGUUGGUAGGGUAACGGCUU